rnacentral:rRNA from 1 species
UCGGGAAUUUUGGGCAAUGGGCGAAAGCCUGACCCAGCAACGCCGCGUGAAGGAUGAAGUAUUUCGGUAUGUAAACUUCGAAAGAAUAGGAAGAAUAAAUGACGGUACUAUUUAUAAGGUCCGGCUAACUACGUGCCAGCAGCCGCGGUAAUACGUAGGGACCAAGCGUUGUUCGGAUUUACUGGGCGUAAAGGGCGCGUAGGCGGCAUGACAAGUCACUUGUGAAAUCUCCGGGCUUAACUCGGAACGGCCAAGUGAUACUGUCACGCUAGAGUAUUGGAGGGGCAAUCGGAAUUCUUGGUGUAGCGGUGAAAUGCGUAGAUAUCAAGAGGAACACCUGAGGUGAAGACGGGUUGCUGGCCAAAUACUGACGCUGAGGCGCGAAAGCCAGGGGAGCAAACG